rnacentral:lncRNA from 1 species
AUGCCAAUGGAACAAACAAGCAAAAGCAAAUUAGCAACUGAUACUGAGGCACCAAUGCAGUGGAGCAAAAAAGAAAUAAAAAUAGGCACUCAGAUGUGUAGUGAUGGGGUUAUUUCUUUCUUUGUAGUCUUAAAGAGAGAAAUAUCAACACAAUUAUGUGAGAAUCUGGCCAAACCUCAUUUGAAAUACUGCAUACAUUUCUGCUCAACCAUGAUAAAGAAAGAUGAACCAAAAUUAGUACAGGUGAAUAAAAUGUUGAGGGAGCCUUCCUGUGAGUGACCCUUUUCCCUGCUGGCACUUCCACCCUCUUCUGUCUGGAGGUUCAGGUAGAUCAAAGAGUCAGUGAAGUCACACCACGCAGAGCAGCUUGCAGCAAGAACAGGAUCUUCCUGUGGACACAAUGGAAGUAGAGGAGCAUAAAUGGGAAUAUGGGUGAUUGAGUGCUGUAAUUUGAAGUUAAUAUGAAGUUACAUAACCAGGCUUUUUAUGAGAAAUGCUGAGUGACACUCACAUGUGAACACACUUGUAUUUUUACCAUCGUGUUAAGAGACUUAUCAGCUUUUUAUAUAAUUUUGAUUGAUAUUUUGCAAAACUCCAAUAUUCCACUUAAUUCACAUGAAAAACAAUUCCCAUAGUUUCCACUAAUUGGUUUUCUAUCAUUAUUUGUUUGGAGUUUUUUCUGUGCAGCUCAAACAACAAAUUCAUAAAAUAACACACAUUUGUAGAUAAUUACUUUGAUACCAAGUUAUGCAUUUAAAUGUGUUCAGGAAAAUUAAAAAAUUUUAAUUUUUAAGAACCAGGUGUAUACAUUCAGAAGAAAAACCAGAUGAUGUGUUUUCAAUUUCACUUUUAUCUCAGUAUCUGACAUCAGAUAUUGCUAUGCAGAGACUCUCAGCUGUCAUUUUCCUGGUUUGCUGUCAAAAAUUUGAGGAAUGUACUAUCACAAAUGACAACACAAGGAUAUUAAACUGUUGCAUUAAUAAAUUAAUAUUUGUUAAUUAUUAAUAAACA